UGGGGAAUUUUCCGCAAUGGGCGAAAGCCUGACGGAGCAACGCCGCGUGGGUGAUGAAGUCUUUCGGGACGUAAAACCCUUUCAGCAGGGAAGAAGUCAGUGACGGUACCUGCAGAAGAAGCACCGGCUAACUACGUGCCAGCAGCCGCGGUAAUACGUAGGGUGCGAGCGUUGUCCGGAUUUAUUGGGCGUAAAGGGAGCGUAGGCGGCCAUUUAAGUUUGGUCUUAAAGACCGGGGCUCAACCCCGGGACUGGACUGAAUACUGGGUGGCUAGAGGAUGUCAGAGGAAAGUGGAAUUCCGAGUGUAGCGGUGAAAUGCGUAGAUAUUCGGAGGAACACCAGUGGCGAAGGCGACUUUCUGGGACAUUCCUGACGCUGAGGCUCGAAAGCUCGGGGAGCAAACAGG
rnacentral:rRNA from 1 species